rnacentral:rRNA from 1 species
UCUAGCUCAAAUCAGGUAGGACUACC